rnacentral:rRNA from 1 species
UACGAAGGGCCCGAGCGUUGCGCGGAAUCACUGGGCUUAAAGCGUGCGCAGGCGGAUAUGCAAGUACCUUGUGAAAUCCCAUGGCUCAACCAUGGAACUGCUUGGUAUACUGUGUAUCUUGAGGUCGGUAGGGGCCAUCGGAACGAUAGGUGGAGCGGUGAAAUGCGUAGAUAUCUAUCGGAACGCCUAAGGCGAAGGCAGAUGGCUGGGCCGAUUCUGACGCUCAUGCACGAAAGCGUGGGGAGCGAACGGG